GUCGCGAGCCGUACUUCUUCCGGAAGUCAGUGCCUAUUACCAUAGCAACUGUUCCUGUUGGACCUGCGGGCUUCACACAGUCUCAACAGACAGGUUCCGUUCUAUCCUGGAACUCAAGCGCAAGUCUGGAGAUUGACCCUCCCAUGUGCUGGGAUUUCUGGCUUCAGCCACUAUGCCAUGUUUUAGCUCCCUCAGCUCAUCAGAACACGGUUCUUCAUCGUGUCCUCACUUGCUGACAGAAGACCGG